UCAGGGGUGGAAGGCAAGUCGGUAGAGCAUAUGGCUACCAACCUGAAGGUUGUGGGUUCAAUUCCCACCCUUUGCA